CAAUUUCAUCUGGCUCUCCUCGGUAGAAGUAUUUUUGAGAUAGAGAGCUAAGAUCAGCUAAUUUGUCAGCAUUAUAAAGCAGUAUCUUGUCCUCAUAGUUCUUGUCUCUCACUGAAACUUUCCAGCAGCGGCCGCUGACAUAUGAACUUCACCAAUGAAGAUGCCACCACCGCACGGCUAUUUCUUGACUGCCCUGCUGAGGGUAAGAUAGUGGGAUAAUGCUUCUUUUCGGCCAUUUCUUUGUCAUUUCUAACAGGGUCAAACUCAAAUACCAAUAAAAGGAGAUGGAGAGCCAAUAUGCCACACCAUCAAAUUUAAAAGGCUAGGGGGAAAAAAAAGUCAAGAUCAUAAACGGUUGCCACAUUCAGUCUUUUUUAAUGCUAGUCUAUUAGUUUCAAUAAAAGAACAACAGAGUGUCCAUCGCGCUGUAACGCGACACGCCUAUCAUGUCAAUACGAUUAGUUUUUGUAAUGUGUUCAUGUACUGGUUACAGUUUAUAGAAAAAUUGAUUUCACAGAAUCAGAGAAAUUAGAAUUGGAAAUAUUCUAUUAGAUCACAAGACACAGCCCUAGAGGCUAGUGUAGAAUUGGUCCCUACUUACCAGUGUAUUUUCUGGUGUGGUUUUCUAUCAGGUUUUGAUGGGCUUAUAUAUUUAUUAUAGGCUGGGACUAUGUUCCACUAAAAAUUAUAGCAAUCCAUCUGAGAAAUAAAAUUCCAGAAAAAUAAGCAUUCGCUGAGUGCUAAUUUUACUUUGGUGGGUACAUUUUUAAUAUAGCAGUGUUUAUAGCCUCUCAGCUUACAAGAGGCAGGGUAACAGAAGUGGAUCAUGGGCUGGCAUUAUAAUCAAGUAGUAAAUUUACAUAUCUUAAGAGGAGAAAAUUUCCCCAGACCAAAUUUCCCAUCAGAUUUACACAAAAUGUGAUAAGAAAUUUUGAUCCCCCAAGAAUAGCUUAUUUUCUAUGUAGGAAAUUGAAGCCCGUGCCUCCUGAAAGUGUCUAUAAUCGCACACCUGAAGGGACUUCUUGCACUUUUUGGGCAGUGUGUACUGAGCUAGGACUCUGGGAGAUACAGUUGCAAGAGAGUGCAAGAGAGAGGGCAAACACAGCCCUGAACUUGGGGGCCGGGGUGGCUGUGGCCAGGGUCCAACCUCACAUCUCCGCUCUGCUUCCCUUUCUCACUCUGGUGUGACUGAGAGAGACGAGGAGCGAGGGCUGGGCUAGCCUGGGAAAUGUGAGCCCUGAGCAGGGUCUUGCUCCUCUCUCCUGCACAUAAGGGAAUGCAGUGGCUUUUCCAGGUGAAACAUACACACACUGGUCUACGUCCAACCAAUCCGACGGCUCCCAGGAUUUCCCAUGUCAGGACAGGUCAGCUUUCCUCCUCUUCAACAGUCUUUACAUCCUCCUCGCCUGGUUCCAUCCGUUAAUAAUGUCGGAGAAAGGACUACAGUGCGAUUUUCCUCAGCUCUCUCCAGAGUUUCUUAACCUUUUUUUUUUUCAUGGAGACAAAGCAGAAAUCUGUACGUAGUCUAAGCUUGUGGGUGGGAGGAGGGACUCAGGCCGUGUGUGGGAAAGGAUAGGGAGGAGGCAGAGAAGUGUAACGGUCUGCAGACAAUGCCCGACUCCGCUUGUCUCCAUCCUCACACCCCUGUCCGGAACACAGCCCUUGUUCUUCUGGACGGCAGCUGAUGAAGAUUAUGUCUGGCGAGCGAUCCAGGAAAAGCCUUCUACACCUGCAUGCUAAAUGAGCAAGAACGCCCAGUCAAUUUCAUCUGGCUCUCCUCGGUAGAAGUAUUUUUGAGAUAGAGAGCUAAGAUCAGCUAAUUUGUCAGCAUUAUAAAGCAGUAUCUUGUCCUCAUAGUUCUUGUCUCUCACUGAAACUUUCCAGCAGCGGCCGCUGACAUAUGAACUUCACCAAUGAAGAUGCCACCACCGCACGGCUAUUUCUUGACUGCCCUGCUGAGGGUAAGAUAGUGGGAUAAUGCUUCUUUUCGGCCAUUUCUUUGUCAUUUCUAACAGGGUCAAACUCAAAUACCAAUAAAAGGAGAUGGAGAGCCAAUAUGCCACACCAUCAAAUUUAAAAGGCUAGGGGGAAAAAAAAGUCAAGAUCAUAAACGGUUGCCACAUUCAGUCUUUUUUAAUGCUAGUCUAUUAGUUUCAAUAAAAGAACAACAGAGUGUCCAUCGCGCUGUAACGCGACACGCCUAUCAUGUCAAUACGAUUAGUUUUUGUAAUGUGUUCAUGUACUGGUUACAGUUUAUAGAAAAAUUGAUUUCACAGAAUCAGAGAAAUUAGAAUUGGAAAUAUUCUAUUAGAUCACAAGACACAGCCCUAGAGGCUAGUGUAGAAUUGGUCCCUACUUACCAGUGUAUUUUCUGGUGUGGUUUUCUAUCAGGUUUUGAUGGGCUUAUAUAUUUAUUAUAGGCUGGGACUAUGUUCCACUAAAAAUUAUAGCAAUCCAUCUGAGAAAUAAAAUUCCAGAAAAAUAAGCAUUCGCUGAGUGCUAAUUUUACUUUGGUGGGUACAUUUUUAAUAUAGCAGUGUUUAUAGCCUCUCAGCUUACAAGAGGCAGGGUAACAGAAGUGGAUCAUGGGCUGGCAUUAUAAUCAAGUAGUAAAUUUACAUAUCUUAAGAGGAGAAAAUUUCCCCAGACCAAAUUUCCCAUCAGAUUUACACAAAAUGUGAUAAGAAAUUUUGAUCCCCCAAGAAUAGCUUAUUUUCUAUGUAGGAAAUUGAAGCCCGUGCCUCCUGAAAGUGUCUAUAAUCGCACACCUGAAGGGACUUCUUGCACUUUUUGGGCAGUGUGUACUGAGCUAGGACUCUGGGAGAUACAGUUGCAAGAGAGUGCAAGAGAGAGGGCAAACACAGCCCUGAACUUGGGGGCCGGGGUGGCUGUGGCCAGGGUCCAACCUCACAUCUCCGCUCUGCUUCCCUUUCUCACUCUGGUGUGACUGAGAGAGACGAGGAGCGAGGGCUGGGCUAGCCUGGGAAAUGUGAGCCCUGAGCAGGGUCUUGCUCCUCUCUCCUGCACAUAAGGGAAUGCAGUGGCUUUUCCAGGUGAAACAUACACACACUGGUCUACGUCCAACCAAUCCGACGGCUCCCAGGAUUUCCCAUGUCAGGACAGGUCAGCUUUCCUCCUCUUCAACAGUCUUUACAUCCUCCUCGCCUGGUUCCAUCCGUUAAUAAUGUCGGAGAAAGGACUACAGUGCGAUUUUCCUCAGCUCUCUCCAGAGUUUCUUAACCUUUUUUUUUUUCAUGGAGACAAAGCAGAAAUCUGUACGUAGUCUAAGCUUGUGGGUGGGAGGAGGGACUCAGGCCGUGUGUGGGAAAGGAUAGGGAGGAGGCAGAGAAGUGUAACGGUCUGCAGACAAUGCCCGACUCCGCUUGUCUCCAUCCUCACACCCCUGUCCGGAACACAGCCCUUGUUCUUCUGGACGGCAGCUGAUGAAGAUUAUGUCUGGCGAGCGAUCCAGGAAAAGCCUUCUACACCUGCAUGCUAAAUGAGCAAGAACGCCCAGGCUUAGAAGAAAUGGGGCCAGACAAUCAUGGAUUGGAACCUUUGAAGCCGUGAGCCAAGAUAAAACUCCCUACCUCAGAACCCUUGACAGCCAUGUGUCAGAGAAGCAGACCACCCGAAGCUUGGAACUGGCUUGGAUUUGAUCUCCAACUGUCUGCCAAGCUUCUGCAUGGCUCCCCAGACAAGCCUUAUGUUUGAGGCUCCUAGGACGACCUCUGGAUGGGAGGCAUUUUGUCACUGAUAUGCGAUCCCUGACAAGACAGGAGAAAAAGGCGAAAAGGACCAUGUAUCUCAGGGUUUCAGUCUAUCACAGUGGGGAACGGGCGUGAAGCGGGCCAAUAAAAUAUGGCUGGCAACCAAGGAACCAAUGCAGCAAGGUGAGCUCCCAAGGGUACCCUUUCUGUGGCUUCCUUUUUCCAACCAGGCCCAACCUCUUCUUUUCCUCAGCUUCCAAUAACACUGUCACACUAUAAAGCAAUUGGUGGAUUAGUCCAUUGAUUAACUCAAAACCUUCAGGAUCCCACCACUUGUCAAGGCCCACCCAUCAGCUAAUAACCAAGUUCCCUUCUAUUUGAACCACAGCCGUUGGUGAUAGACUCCAUCUUGGCUUUACUGGUUUCCGAAGGAAUCUUUGUUACAGCUUCUCCUGACGUCACUGGGCCUCCUCUAGGAACAGCUGCUGAACUGGUUCAAUGGAUCUGUGGUUGUGACAGAAGCAACGGAUGGAGAGAGAUGUUCAUUUUGGCUCGCAGUUCAGGAGUACAGUCUGUAAUUGUGGGUAGGUCACAGUGGCUGCGAUGGGUCAGUCUGUGGUGUGCAGGUGUGUGCAUAGGAGAUGGGAUCACGGGGAGUGUACGGGGUUUCCCAUAGUAGCAUCCAAACCUCCCUUCAGGAGGAUCCCAGGAUCUGAGGGAGUUGGAGGUAGAAGACUGACCAAGCCCAGUGGCAAGGCUUGUUACCAUUGGACCAGAAGCUCCUGCUUCUGCCUGGUCCCAGCAAAAGCAGAGAGGAGCCAGACCCUAGGGAUGAGCACUAAAGUUUCUUAACAAACACACCAGCAAGCAUUGGGUAGCCACUGAGAAAAUUUCCCAACUCCACUCAGGUGCUGACCUAGUAGAGCCAUUCUAACAUGUCCCCAGGGGAUUGAAUCAAUUACAUUUGUGUGCGUGUGCCCGUGUGUCUGCACAUGCAUGUGUAUGUGUAUGUGUUGUGGUGCAGUUCAGAGGACAAUUUACAGGAGUCUGUUCUCCUUUUCCGCCAGGCAGGGGUCAGACUCAGAGAACCAGGCUUGCUCCCUUACUGAGCCAUCUCACUGUCCCUAGGAAUUGAAUCCAGCAGAACCUGCUGAUACUUGGAGCUAAGCCAUCCACCUGGGAUGGCAGAGCAGGAAGAGGUGCGAUGGGGUAAGGUGGUAGCCAGGGCCCCAGGCUUUGGGCCCUGGAAGGUGACCCUCCAGCACAGCAGACACUCAUUCCCAAAUGUGUACCAGGUCCCUCUUUGCCAGCAAUCAUUAGGUUCAGAAAGCUCAGAGGGCCUGGUGCCCCCAACAAGUCAGCCGCCUCAGCCACCAUCUGCUCCUCAGAACUAGCAGAUCUCACAAGCAGCCUGUGGCUGAAACCAGUGCCAGAUUCUCCUGCCGUGGCUGUGGCUGUGGAGAGAGGCAGAGGGCGCUAACACGGGCCCUGGAUCAUGUUCUGGGGAGGUUGAUGCUGCCUGACCCUUUCCGGAAGGGCACAAGCAGUACUGGCAGAGCCCUCCCCACCUCUGGCUUGACCCUUGCUUAAUCUCAAACCUGGAGGUUGGUGUUCUAAUCCCACAGUGAUGCCCAGAGCUUGGGUAGAAAUGAUUGCAAGGUAAUAUGUUUUGCUUUCAGAGAGUAAAUUAAAACGAAGACUUCUGAUUUUAAGAAGCAAAACAUAAAACCUGAUUCCUAAAUAAACCCCCUUCCGUCCUGCCAUUAACACUGCUUCUUGUUUGUGAUAGGGGGCGGGCUCAACGGACCUGCCAAUCAACUACUGCUUUCAUUCCUGACAGACCUAGGGGAAGAGCAGAUCCCAUUUCUGUGCUAGCUAGAGAGCUAUGCAAUAGUGGCACAAGUCAGUGAAUACAAACUGUGCAGCCUCCUCCUCCCCCGUGCCUUUCCCAGCAGAGCCCAGUGCAUAACAAGUACUACACUAAUAAGUUCAUCAUGGGGUCAGUUCUGAACUGGGCUGACUCCUCGGCUCCCAGGCCUGGGAAAGCAAGAGAGACUUGUUCACUCACUGACCUCAGAUGAAAAUUUGAUAAACUGCUGAUGCCUUUGGUUAUUUAUGAGUUAUUACAUGCAUAUAAAUGAACAUAUUUUACUAGUUGUACAAAUUACAUUUUAUCGGUGUGAAACAUGCAUUUCAUUCCACAGGCUGCUGACCUGGCUAAAGAUGAAGUCUUUUUGAAUGCUAUUAGAGUUGGUGUUCGCGAGUACAUAUUUGACCCUUGAGGGUUCUCCUGAGAAUCCCAGGGUCUAUCACUGCAGACUGACCCAGCUCCAGUGAACAAACAGAAGUCUAGGGCAGGAAAGCCCCGCCCUCUCAAGCCCCGCCCU
rnacentral:sRNA from 1 species